rnacentral:rRNA from 1 species
GAUGAACGCUGGCGGCGUGCCUAAUACAUGCAAGUCGAGCGAACAGACGAGGAGCUUGCUCCUCUGACGUUAGCGGCGGACGGGUGAGUAACACGUGGAUAACCUACCUAUAAGACUGGGAUAACUUCGGGAAACCGGAGCUAAUACCGGAUAAUAUAUUGAACCGCAUGGUUCAAUAGUGAAAGACGGUUUUGCUGUCACUUAUAGAUGGAUCCGCGCCGCAUUAGCUAGUUGGUAAGGUAACGGCUUACCAAGGCAACGAUGCGUAGCCGACCUGAGAGGGUGAUCGGCCACACUGGAACUGAGACACGGUCCAGACUCCGACGGGAGGCAGCAGUAGGGAAUCGUCCGCAAUGGGCGAAAGCCUGACGGAGCAACGCCGCGUGAGUGAUGAAGGUCUUCGGAUCGUAAAACUCUGUUAUUAGGGAAGAACAAAUGUGUAAGUAACUAUGCACGUCUUGACGGUACCUAAGCAGAAAGCCACGGCUAACUACGU